GAUGAACGCUGACAGAAUGCUUAACACAUGCAAGUCAACUUGAAUUUGGGUUUUUAACUUAGGUUUGGGUGGCGGACGGGUGAGUAACGCGUAAAGAACUUGCCUCACAGCUAGGGACAACAUUUGGAAACGAAUGCUAAUACCUAAUAUUAUGAUAAUAGGGCAUCCUAUAAUUAUGAAAGCUAUAAGCGCUGUGAGAGAGCUUUGCGUCCCAUUAGCUAGUUGGAGAGGUAACGGCUCACCAAGGCGAUGAUGGGUAGCCGGCCUGAGAGGGUGAUGGGCCACAAGGGGACUGAGACACGGCCCUUACUCCUGCGGGAGGCAGCAGUGGGGAAUAUUGGACAAUGGACCGAGAGUCUGAUCCAGCAAUUCUGUGUGCACGAUGAAGUUUUUCGGAAUGUAAAGUGCUUUCAGUUGGGAAGAAACAAAUGACGGUACCAACAGAAGAAGUGACGGCUAAAUACGUG
rnacentral:rRNA from 1 species